GGGGUAAGACGGGUUGUGAUUGUGGAGGCUGGAAGCAAGCGGGUAGAAGGUAUCAUUUCGCUAGGCGACAUAUUCAAGUUCCUGCUAAGCUAAUGGAUACAACAGUAACAGUAUCAGUAUCAGUAUCAGCAAAAGUAACAGUAAUUGUUUCACAAUUCUUUGAAGCAUAUGAUUGCGAUUUGGCCUCGCGUUUUGAUAAGGUGUAUUAGUGUAAAGAGCAAAGGCAUGUAAAUCUUGAUUGUGUUUUAUAUGUGACUCGACUUAAGUCUAUGUGCUCUUGUUGUUUUGCCACGUGGCAACUAGUUUUAUUUGACAUUUUUUUGAAUUGUGGUUUUUGAAUGGUGUUUGUAUUUUAAUUGUUGUAGUAUUUAUAAGUUAUAACAGUCAUGCAAUGGUUAAUUUUAGGUAUAAAUAAUAAAAAGAAAGAUUGGUGUUGCUUUGAAUUAUGUGGCUUUUUUAUUAGGUGUUAAUUUUUGUAGUUUUUAUUUUAUUUUACUUUUGUGAAACUUCUUUCAAUCGGUGAGUUUUUUUAGCAAAAUAAUCCAAACUUAUAAUUAAAAAUUAAUUAAAAGAUUUAGGGGUUAUUAGGCAUGUUUUACAAAAUAAAUUAUUGGCUUAAAAAAAUCAGUAAAUCUAAAAAACUUUUUGGCUAUUGAUAAAUGUUUUUUUAAAGUGUUUUGAUAUGUUUUAAAGUGGAGUUUCUAAAAGACAAAAUUGUUUACUUUUGUCUCUUGAGAUUGUCAAAUAUUGAGAUUUUUGUCUAAAAUGUUUUGGAUUCUACCAACGGUCUAAAAGGUUUAUUGUAUUGCGAGUUUACCAAAAAAUUUCAAACGUUUUAUAAUUAUGGAUUUGCCAUUGAUAUUUUUCUUUUUUAAAUUAUUUUACAUUUUUCUAAUUAAAAUUAAAAAAAAAAAAGACAAGAAACACCCCACUUACCCCACUACUCAUUCCUUAUCAAUACCUUAUAUCAUUUUUCGAUUCAAAUUAGAUCUAGGAACACCGUCACUAGAUAGAUACCGCCGCCAUGGUCGGACGUCAUUUCCACCAUUGGACACCACAAAACACUCAUUUUUAUUCAGAUCUUCAAGCUCAAACAUGAACAAAUGAUUUUUCUGCAAACUUCCAAAACACUCAAACUACAACAAAAUUACUCAAGAACAAUAUAUUUCAACAAACUUGAUUUUUUUAGAUCUUAAGAACAAAAAUACAUUUUCCAAAUUUGCAAAAUCAAAAACCCUAAAAUUACGAAUUAAAUUAUCCAAAUCUUCAAACAAAAUCUCUAAAAACUCAAUUUUCUAAUCUGAAAACUCAACUUUCCAAAUCCUCAAAACCUCAUUGUUGAAGAUCUUAUUUGCAAAAGAAAGGGAAAAAGGUUGUCCGGCGAGAAACCUCUCGUCUUCGAAAUCCCUUUGUAGUUGCCACCCUUCAUUUUUCAUCUAUUCGUCAUGAGGAUUUAGAGUGAUAGUGUUGGUCGUCAUACGGCAAGAAGAAGAUAGAGAAAUAGGGUGAUAGGGAUCUGAAAAGCUAGGGUUUCGAAAAACUAUAAGGGCGACGACGCUAGGGUUUUUGCAAACGUUGGCACCCUGUCGGAGAAGGAGAGAGACGGACAAUGUGACACUAAACCUUUGUCGGAGCUAUGGUGUACAAGACGGAUAUCGUCGGUACUCCGUGGCGACGAUUUCGUCAAGAUCCAUCAAAACCCCUAAAUGGUGGUGUCACCAAACCUCCAUCGAUCCACUGGUUGAUACGAUCUACGGUCAAAAUGGUGGUGUCCGUGGUGGUUGUUCAUGGUGAGAGAAGACGAACUGAGAAAGAGGGUAACAGCUUCGGUGGUCAUUCGACGAACAAAAAAGAGAGAAAGGGUGAUAGCAUAUCUGAAAUCUAACUCCAUUCGAAGAGCAUUGUGGUGGCACCAGCGAUAGGUCUCUGACGAUAGAUUUUUAGUGGUGGUCCGACGAAAAGGGUGGCAUUGACGGUGAGUUAAUUUUCCGGUGGACAUUAGAGAUGGAGUUUGUAAAAGAGGGAUAUGGAUGUGGGUGGGAUGGGUUAUUAGGGUUAUGAUUAUAUUUUGUUUUUUGUUUUAUUUUAAUAAGAUAAAGUAAAUAAAAAAAAACAAAUAGAAA
rnacentral:lncRNA from 1 species